rnacentral:rRNA from 1 species
CGUGUAGGUGGUACUGUAAGUAGGGCGUGAAAGCUCCCGGCUCAACUGGGAGAGGCCGUUCUAAACUGCAGAACUAGAGGAUGGUAGAGGGAGGUGGAAUUCCAGGUGUAGCGGUGGAAUGCGCAGAUAUCUGGAGGAACACCAGUGGCGAAGGCGGCCUCCUGGACCAUUCCUGACACUCAGACGCGAAAGCUAGGGUAGCAAACG